rnacentral:rRNA from 1 species
UGUGAUUUUUGUAUAUAUAUAUAUAUUAAAAAGUAAAAUUAAUUUGAUUUUUUAUAUAGAUAGUAAAAAUUGAAGUUGAAGCUAAUAAUUCUUGGGGUUAAACUAGGAUUAGAUACCCUAUUAUUCCAUGAUAAAAUUUGUAUCCUUGGUUAGUAGUAGUUAUUUACUUAAAAUCUAAAAAAUUUGGGGGUAAUUUAAUCUUUUCAGAGGAACCUGUUUUUUAAUCGAUAAGCCACGAAGUAUCUUGCUUAUUUUAGUAAAGUUUGUAUACCAUCAUUAUCAGGUAAUUUUUAAAGAAAAUUAUUUACUAGGAAAAAAUAAUUUAGAUAAAUUAGAUCAUGGGGCAGCUUAUAAAUAAGUUAGAAUGGGUUACAAUAAAUUAUUAUUAUACGGAUAAAUAAAAUAAUGUUUUUUUAGAAGGAGGAUUUGAUUGUAUUUUAAAUUUAAUAUGUUUAAAAGAUAAUAGCUCUAAAUUAUGUACAUAUCGCCCGUCGCUUUCAUUUAUAGAU